rnacentral:rRNA from 1 species
GACGAACGCUGGCGGCAGGCCUAACACAUGCAAGUCGAGCGCGCGGCGGACGGGUGAGCAAUGUCUGGGAACAUGCCUGAUGGAGGGGGAUACCUACUGGAAACGGUAUCUAAUCCAGCAUACAAUCAGAUGUGCCCAGAUGGGAGUAGCUGGUAGGUGGGGUAACGGCUCACCUCGGCGACGAUCCCUAGCUGGUCUGAGAGGAUGACCAGCAACACUGGACCGGAGACACGGUCCAGACUCCUACGGGAGGCAGCAGUGGGGAAUAUUGCACAAUGGGCGCAAGCCUGAUGCAGCCAUGCCGCGUGUGUGAAGAAGGCCUUCGGGUUGUAAAGCACUUUCAGCGGGGAGGCGUUACCCGAAGAAGAAGCACCGGCUAACUCCGUGCCAGCAGCCGCGGUAAUAC